GAAAUGCGAUAAGUAAUGUGAAUUGCAGAAUUCAGUGAAUCAUCGAAUCUUUGAACGCACAUUGCGCCCGCCAGUAUUCUGGCGGGCAUGCCUGUCCGAGCGUCAUUUCAACCCUCGAACCCCUCCGGGGGGUCGGCGUUGGGGAUCGGCCCCUCACCGGGCCGCCCCCGAAAUACAGUGGCGGUCUCGCCGCAGCCUCUCAUGCGCAGUAGUUUGCACACUCGCACCGGGAGCGCGGCGCGGCCACAGCCGUAAAACACCCCAAAUUUUCUGAAAUGUUGACCUCGGAUCAGGUAGGAAUACCCGCUGAACUUAA
rnacentral:misc_RNA from 1 species